CUUCGCUUCAAGUAUCAGUUUCAUGUCAACAACUUGGCUAAGGACAUGAGCCUGUCUCUGCUGCCGAUUGUCAGAAUGGAUUAGGAUGCGAUCCUUGAGCUGCUAGCUGCUAGCUGCGAGCUGGUAGCCAGGCAAUCCGGUGGUAUCAAUAACAAUUAGCCAGAGAUUCCACUCAGGUGGUGCGUUCAGGUGUCAGCUGAUCAAACUGCUUCCCAUCUCUCGAUUGACCGCAAUUCAAGAAUUCAAGAGUUUGCUACAAAUUAAGCCGCAGGGUAAACAUAUUCGAGCACCCCCUCUUAGAGGGACCUGUUAUCACACCAGCCCAUCCACCAACCACCUUAUCAUCGCACGUGGAUUUGUUUGCCAGAACGCUCAUUGCUAGCUGGUGUUUGUUUUGCGCAUUUCAAUUGACUAACAAUGCCAGGACAUGAUGCUGCCCAUCCCUGCGUACGUUUCCCAUGUUGCCACCAGCAACUUGAGAGGCAAAUUUCACUCAUUUUCAUUCUGCAUUUCGUGUUCGAGCACAUUUCAUUUCAUUUCAAUUCAAUUCAUUUCAUUCCAUUUCUUUUGCCUUCGCCGCUCUGUAGUCCGUUGUGAAUUGGCGAGGCUUCUAAAAUCAAUGAAAUACUUUUCGGGCUGCACCGAUGGGGCUUCUCCUGGUUUGGGCUGCGCUUUGCUUUUAUGCUGCCACUCAAGUCAUUCAACAUGUUAAUGCCAAUCGGUCAUAUUAGCUACCAUGCCGGCUAAAAUGAGCUAACCAACUUGGUUCAACUGGAGGCGGGGAGUGGGGGAGGUGUGCCUGCUCAAUCAGAGAUGAUUAACAAUUAGUUGUCAUUAAGUGCGCUUAACUUUGAUACAGAAAUACAAAAAUAAACAAAAAUAAACAAAAAGUAACAAAAUUAUAAACAAGUCCUGGGCUUAGAGCCUUACAAAAGGAACGUACUCCUUUAUUCUUUAUUUAAGAAAAUAAAAAAUGCAAUCUUAAGUGCCGUGAAUUAUAAAAAUGUUCCACACCUUUAACUUUUAAUUCCAUCGAAAGUCAUAUCCUUGAACUUAUCAGUUUGUUGUAAUUGAAUGCCUGAUGAAACUUAUCAAUGGUAUUUGAACAUAAGUUACCUCUAAUUAUAAAUUUGUAUUAAGAAACGAUUCAAAAGUUAAGAUUUAAUAAGAACAAUUGAAUUUAAGUGGCUAAAAUCUGUGUUUAUAUCAAUCAAUCAUCGCUUAACAGUCGGUUUUUAAGCCAAAUUCUUCUUCAAUAUAGGAUGUGAAAACACUCUUCCUAAUUUCUUAUCAAUUUUUUUAUUUACUAGGUUUACUGAGAGGAUCCUUUAACUUGUAAAUAACACUUCCCCAGUGAUAUAGACAACUGGCGUGGACUGUAUGGUUUCUAUGAUAUGACUUAGUAGGAACUGUAGAGUUUUGGAACUGGAGUGCAUGAGACAUCUGUGAGUGCAAUUGGGCCGACAACCGACGCCCCCGCUCCCGAGGAGAGUAUCGAUGACCGCGUGACAGGCGCAGCCGUUGCCAGUUGACAUUUGCUGGACAGGAUGGGGAAGGACGAACCGCUGUCCUGACAGCUGGACGAUUCGGCAUCGGGAUCGGGACUGUCGCAUAACCCACUUCUUAUUAAAAACCUAAGCCAGCUUAUUAAAUGCCCGCGACUUAUUAAAAACCCAGGGGGAGAAGUAGAUACAAGUACGGUCGAAGGACUCCCCCAAGAAAAGGAGACAACUACUUGAAUUACAAACUGAACUUGGCCACAACAAUGUCUUUUCGUCCUUCUGGAUAUGAGUACACUUGAGUGAAGCGCGCCAAAUUGAAUUUGUAAGGCGAUACUUUCUGAAAAACAAAAACAAAAGGGGGUUUCGGUACCAGAAGGGUUCAUUACCGGUAUACUCGUAUCUUAUCAAUAAAGUUGCUAUUCUGGGUGACAGAUACAAACCAAUGCAGCAGUAAAAACGC
ensembl:ncRNA lncRNA:CR44946 long non-coding RNA:CR44946